rnacentral:rRNA from 1 species
UAGGGAAUCUUCCACAAUGGACGCAAGUCUGAUGGAGCAACGCCGCGUGAGUGAAGAAGGUUUUCGGACCGUAAAGCUCUGUUGUUGGUGAAGAAGGAUAGAGGUAGUAACUGGCCUUUAUUUGACGGUAAUCAACCAGAAAGUCACGGCUAACUACGUGCCAGCAGCCGCGGUAAUCGUAGGUGGCAAGCGUUGUCCGGAUUUAUUGGGCGUAAAGCGAGCGCAGGCGGAAGAAUAAGUCUGAUGUGAAAGCCCUCGGCUUAACCGAGGAAUUGCAUCGGAAACUGUUUUCU